rnacentral:lncRNA from 12 species
GGGAUAUGCUUUCAGGUGUGUCCCUACACAAUAAUUCUGCAUACAUGUUGCCUGCUGUGACCAGCUUUGACAUGGGUAAUAGGCUUGGCAAAGCAUCAAGAAGAACAGGGGCCAAGCAGUGGUGUGUUUAG